UUGGCAGAAUUUCAAAUUAUGAUAUAAUUAAUGCGGCAGCUCGCCUCGAUUGGAGGUGUGUUAUUUGUGAAAGAUUUAAUGUCGUUGGUUAUCGCACCAAUCUUUGUAGGAUUGGUUCUGGAAAUGAUUUCUCGUGUGUUGGACGAGGAAGACGAUAGCCGAAAGUAAGCUGCUAUCAACACACACGCUAGAAGUCGCAACUAGUGUAAAAAAAAGCAAUCCUAUUCGCCGUAGGAUUGCUUUUU
rnacentral:misc_RNA from 1 species